UACGUAGGGUGCAAGCGUUUAAUCGGAAUACUGGGCGUAAAGCGUGCGCAGGCGGUUGUGCAAGACCGAUGUGAAAUCCCCGGGCUUAACCUGGGAAUGGCAUUGGUGACUGCACGGCUAGAGUGUGUCAGAGGGGGGUAGAAUUCCACGUGUAGCAGUGAAAUGCGUAGAGAUGUGGAGGAAUACCGAGUGGCGAAGGCAGCCCCCUGGGAUAACACUGACGCUCAUGCACGAAAGCGUGGGGAGCAAACAGG
rnacentral:rRNA from 1 species